rnacentral:rRNA from 1 species
CCUACGGGAGGCAGCAGUGAGGAAUAUUGGUCAAUGGACGGAAGUCUGAACCAGCCAUGCCGCGUGCAGGAAGACGGCUCUAUGAGUUGUAAACUGCUUUUGUAUAAGGGUAAACCUGACUACGUGUAUGCAGCUGUAAGUACUGUACGAAUAAGGAUCGGCUAACUCCGUGCCAGCAGCCGCGGUAAUACGGAGGAUCCAAGCGUUAUCCGGAUUUAUUGGGUUUAAAGGUCGAGUAGGUGGAUUGAUAAGUUAGGGGUGAAAGGUCCGAGCUAAACUGGGGAACUGCAUAUGAUACUGUGAGUCUAGAGUAUAGAAGCGGUAGGCGGAAUGCGUGGUGUAGCGGUGAAAUGCUUAGAGAUC